rnacentral:rRNA from 1 species
GAUUAACGCUAGCGGCAGGCAUAAUACAUGCAAGUUGAACGGCAGCACAGGUAGCAAUACUUGGUGGCGAGUGGCGCACGGGUGCGUAACACGUAUGCAACCUACCCUAUACAGGCGAAAAACCUUUAGAAAUGAGGUCUAAUCCGCCGUAGUAUUACAGAUGGGCAUCUAUUUGUAAUUAAAGAUUUAUCGGUAUAGGAUGGGCAUGCGUCCCAUUAGUUAGUUGGUAAGGUAACGGCUGACCAAGACGAUGAUGGGUAGGGGAACUGAGAGGACUUACACCCACACUGGUACACAGACACGACCCAGACUCGUACGAGAGGCAGCUGAAAGUGAUAAUGGGCAAUAGCCGCGAGGCUGACACAGCCAUGGCGCGUGCAAGAACACGGCCUUGUGGAUUGUAAACUGCUUGUAUGCGAGCAUAGGAGAGUGUACGCGUACAUUUAUGCAAGAAUCGAAGGAAUAAGCAUCGCCUAACUCCGU